rnacentral:rRNA from 1 species
GGAAUAUUGGACAAUGGGCGAAAGCUUGAUCCAGCAAUGCCGCGUGCGUGACGAAGGCCUUCGGGUUGUAAAGCGCUUUUCCCUGUGACGAUGAUGACGGUAACAGGGGAAUAAGCCCCGGCUAACUUCGUGCCAGCAGCCGCGGUAAUACGAAGGGGGCUAGCGUUGUUCGGAAUGACUGGGCGUAAAGGGCGCGUAGGCGGCGCAUCAAGUCGGACUGUGAAAGCCCCGGGCUCAACCCGGGAAUUGCGCUCGAGACUGGUGUGCUGGAGCGCGGGAGAGGAUGGUGGAAUUCCCAGUGUAGAGGUGAAAUUCGUAGAUAUUGGGAAGAACACCGGUGGCGAAGGCGACCAUCUGGACCGCAACUGACGCUGAGGCGCGAAAGCGUGGGGAGCAAA